CCUACGGGAGGCAGCAGUGGGGGAUAUUGCACAAUGGGGGGAACCCUGAUGCAGCGACGCCGCGUGGGUGAAGAAGCGCCUCGGCGCGUAAAGCCCUGUCAGCAGGGAAGAAAAUGACGGUACCUGAAGAAGAAGCCCCGGCGAACUACGUGCCAGCAGCCGCGGUACUACGUAGGGGGCAAGCGUUAUCCGGGUUUACUGGGUGUAAAGGGGGCGCAGGCGGCGAUGCAAGCCAGGAGUGACAGCCCGGGGCUCAACCGCGGGACUGCUCUUGGAAGUGCGUGGCUGGAGUGCAGGAGGGGCAGGCGGAAUUCCUGGUGUAGCGGUGAAAUGCGUAGAUAUCAGGAGGAACACCGGUGGCGAAGGCGGCCUGCUGGACUGCAACUGACGUUGAGGCCCGAAAGCGUGGGGAGCAAACAGGAUUAGAUACCCUUGUAGUC
rnacentral:rRNA from 1 species